GUAAAAGUACAACAAAUAAACAAAAAUGGCAAUGUUGAAAGUGAAACUGAAAUUCAACAGAAAUAAAAGAAAUAGCAGACUGGGGGGAUAUUGACUUUGACACCAUGAUGCCAGAGGAACUUAGUGAUGGCAAACUUAUCAAUAUAAAAUGAGGAUAUUGGUUGUCAACUAGGAUUGAAAUGCUGUUUUUCUUCCCUGGUACAAUGUUAAAGCUUUAAACUCUUGUCAAUGAUGUGAUGUUUCAUCUGCAAUGAUCUACACUAGAAAAAUAAAAAUGUAGUUACUGACAAAAAAGCAGGAACUACUGCUCUAAGGAAAAAAGGACAGCUACAUGAGGACCACACAACUCCUGGAAGAGGUUUCCCUGGCAACACAACUUUUCCAUUCAUCUGGUUGCAGUGUUUUCAUCCAGUAGCCUGUCACCUCACUCAAAAGCAGGGCAAUGGAGAGAAAGAAACUUACCAAGUUUUUUCUUUUAACUAGAGAGUAGCCUACUUAUUGGGCCCUGCAAUUAAUUUCAGUACUCCAGGCAGAUUUAUAAAGGAAGCUGCUGGAAGGAAUUCAUUCCCUUUUUGCUGUUCUGCCUUCCACCUUCCACUGUGUGAGGACACUGCAAGAAAGCCCUCAUCAGACACCAACUGCCAGCACCUAGAUCUUGGAAUUCUCAGCCUCCAGAACUAUUUAAGAAACUGUUCCAGACAAGAAUUUGAAAUACAAAUCUCUCACACCGCUGGCAGUUAUGGUGCC
rnacentral:lncRNA from 10 species